UACAGGGGGGGCAAGCGUUGUUCGGAAUUACUGGGCGUAAAGGGCCAGUAGGCGGCCAACUAAGUCCGACGUGAAAUCCCCAGGCUUAACCUGGGAACUGCGUCGGAUACCGGAUGGCUUGAAUUCGGGAGAGGGAUGCAGAAUUCCAGGUGUAGCGGUGAAAUGCGUAGAUAUCGGGAGGAACACCAGUGGCGAAGGCGACUUCCUGGCCUGUUCUUGACGCUGAGGCGCGAAAGCUAGGGUAGCAAACGGG
rnacentral:rRNA from 1 species